UACGUAGGGUGCGAGCGUUGUCCGGAAUUAUUGGGCGUAAAGAGCUCGUAGGUGGUUUGUUGCGUCUGCCGUGAAAACCCGAGGCUUAACCUCGCGCCUGCAGUGGGUACGGGCAGACUAGAGUGCGGUAGGGGAGAUUGGAAUUCCUGGUGUAGCGGUGGAAUGCGCAGAUAUCAGGAGGAACAGCCGAUGGCGAAGGCAGAUCUCUGGCCGUUGACUGACGCUGAGGAGCGAAAGCGUGGGGAGCGAACAGG
rnacentral:rRNA from 1 species